ensembl:lncRNA
AUAGCAUUAUUUAAAUAUUUGGUAAUGAUAAUUUUAAAAAGGCAUUUUUUAUCAUUGAAGAAGCAGAGAAAAGCUUGGAAACAACCCAGGUGCAAUGGAGAUGGUUGCUUUUGACUGGAGCCAUUCUGCAAGUAGCCGAUGAAGGAAGUCCUCUCCUAGCAAGGGACACUAGGUUUUCUUCCUCUAUUGGAGCUGGCCAGCCAAUACUACCAAGUCAGCAGGAAGAGGGGAAGAAAGGACACCAGCACUUUCUGAAAUAGAGCAGAAAAUUGGGGUCGUUCUCUUCUUACUGUCCUGUCCUGCUCAACAGUUCACACUCAAACAAGCAGAAGUGUUCAUAUUUCUGGAACCUACUCAGCAUUUCAGAUUUUUGGAUGAUGAAAGAGGAGAAAAAGCUUCAGUUGGCACUUACAUUUUUUGACAUCGAAGCUACUCACAUGUAAGAUCCAAAUUAAAAGAAAAUCAGCUUGUUAAGAAAAAUAUAUGGACAUUUUUUUAACACUGAAACAAUUGUUUAAAUUUUGGCUUUGGCAAGGGAACCCGUAAAGCAUCU